GAGUUUGAUUAUGGCUCAGGAUGAACGCUGGCGGCGUGCCUAACACAUGCAAGUCGAGCGAGAAGCUGUUUAAUGAAACUUCGGUAGAUUUAAAAAGUGGAAAGCGGCGGACGGGUGAGUAACGCGUGGGCAACCUGCCUUACACAGAGGGAUAGCCAUUGGAAACGAUGAUUAAAACCUCAUAACGCUUUUUUAGCACAUGCUGAGGAAGCCAAAGAUUUAUCGGUGUAAGAUGGGCCCGCGUCUGAUUAGUUAGUUGGUGAGGUAACGGCUCACCAAGACAGCGAUCAGUAGCCGACCUGAGAGGGUGAUCGGCCACAUUGGAACUGAGACACGGUCCAAACUCCUACGGGAGGCAGCAGUGGGGAAUAUUGCACAAUGGGCGAAAGCCUGAUGCAGCAACGCCGCGUGAAGGAAGAAGGCCUUCGGGUCGUAAACUUCUGUCCAAAAGGAAGAAAAAAAU
rnacentral:rRNA from 1 species